GUAGUCGGCCAGUGCCGAGGCCCUUCACACACAAGGGUUAAUGGGGUGCAACUCCCCCGCCCAUCUCGAGCGUCAUCGAGACCA
rfam:Okra mosaic tymovirus virion protein gene, complete cds.